CGGUCUGUCUCUGUCUACUGCGUCUCCCUCCCACUCCGCUGGUCUCCCACAGUUCCUAGGAGGCGUGCUGCCGGUUGGACAGGGCCCGGCCGCCGAGGACCGUGUCCUGCUGCUUGCCUUUCUCCUGCAGGGCUUGCUUCUGGAGAGCCUGUCGCUCCAGGGCGGCCUGCAGCUCCGCCACGGCUGCCUCCUGGUCCCGCAGACGUCUGGCGGCCGUGAAGGGGCUGCACACAGUCUCCAUCAGGCCGAGCACCACGCCGAAGAGGGCCAGCACGCUGCCCAGCACGUACAGCUUCACCAUCUUCCCCUUGCGCUUCUGGGCCAUCAUCUCCUUGGCCAGGGGGAUCAGCUCCUGGACCGUUUCCAUCUCGGCUCUGGGCUCUCGGAGGCGGGAAUGACCUGCAGGAGGAGCAGCAGGAGAGGGGCUUCAGCCACCAAAGAACGGCUCCCACCACCCCGCACCCAGCUAAUCUUGGGGAGGGCUCAUAGAAAGGCGGACUACCUUAGUGGCACGGCGCGAGCAGGAGGCAGCGCGAGCUGCAGUUGGCAGCGGUCAGCGCGUCCGUUGGUCCGACCGACCUCAGCGUUCUCCUCCUCUCGGCAGCUGCAGCUCUCCCAGUUGGAGACUCCGCCGCUGGCACCGCUUUAGCGUCCGGGGGCCGCUUAUAUCUUUUCUCUGAGACACGCCUCCUGGGCUCUCCGGCCCAGGCCAGCGCGCUGGACCCUGGGUACCUGGCUGAAGACUUUGGACUUUAACCUGGAGAUGAUGGAGAGUAUGCAGGAUAAAGUCCAUACCAAAUCCAACGCCUAGCAAAUGGAGAACAAGCCAAAACUAACAAGAUAAAAUGUAGCAGGAAAAAGUGCAAAGAGCUGAAGUGUGGAAUAAGUGGGAGAGGUCUGCCAUGCCCUAUCUGACCUUGCUGCCAUGAUCUUUAAGGCUGUGUGUCCUGGUUGGUGCAGCUACAAGAUGGCAGAAAUGCCUAAGUGAUGGUAUGGAACAGAGGAUCCCUCUUCUCACCAUUGUCUUGCAUGUUUCCUUGUGUGAACCACAAAUAAACUUUUGUUAUGUUAAGCUGCUGAGA
rnacentral:lncRNA from 10 species